UUGGUUUUUGGUUUCGUUUGGCUACUGAGAUGGUAACGUAAUUCGCAGGAUCUACGCCGUGUGAUUUAGGUUAUGGUAUUCCCAAUGUCCGUUUUCUAAGAGAAUAAGUUGCAUCUGUAACGUCAUGUAGACUGAAUAUGCGUUGUCAGUUAGGUCAGUUAAAGUAAUGCUUUGCCGUGAGCAUUAUUACGUAUAUAUCAUGUAGCAUAGGCAUGACCAAAAGAAAUCACGAUUUGAAGAGUCGACUUGAAUUAACCUUUUUGGUACUUGCGUUCAUUUCACAUGAUCGGGAUUUUAUCUAAUAGAUUGAAUAGAGUAAAUUAGGGAGCAAUUACCAAGCACGCCCGUUGCGAAUCGCGCUCCAGGCGCGGACUAUAUCCACGAUCACCACCAUCACAACGUAUCGUGAGGAUAUUCGUGGUUUUACUCAGUUCCUCCAGGCAAGUGUGAGAUAGUCUUAUACCUAACAUGAAGUCACACCUUGCGAACCCAUGAACAUAUCAUGGAUUUGAUUAAAUCGGAACCUAAUUCAGACAGUGAGAUGUGUCUUACAUCUUCUGAGAGUGGAAGCCAGCUGAUUCAUGUGAAACAGGAGGAGGUGCCUCCA